rnacentral:rRNA from 1 species
UAGAGUGGGGGAUAACGUAGCGAAAGUUACGCUAAUACCGCAUACGAUCUAAGGAUGAAAGUGGGGGAUCGCAAGACCUCAUGCUCGUGGAGCGGCCGAUAUCUGAUUAGCUAGUUGGUAGGGUAAAAGCCUACCAAGGCAUCGAUCAGUAGCUGGUCUGAGAGGACGACCAGCCACACUGGAACUGAGACACGGUCCAGACUCCUACGGGAGGCAGCAGUGGGGAAUUUUGGACAAUGGGCGAAAGCCUGAUCCAGCAAUGCCGCGUGAGUGAAGAAGGCCUUCGGGUUGUAAAGCUCUUUUGUCAGGGAAGAAACGGUGAGAGCUAAUAUCUCUUGCUAAUGACGGUACCUGAAGAAUAAGCACCGGCUAACUACGUGCCAGCAGCCGCGGUAAUACGUAGGGUGCAAGCGUUAAUCGGAAUUACUGGGCGUAAAGCGUGCGCAGGCGGUUUUGUAAGUCUGAUGUGAAAUCCCCGGGCUCAACCUGGGAAUUGCAUUGGAGACUGCAAGGCUAGAAUCUGGCAGAGGGGGGUAGAAUUCCACGUGUAGCAGUGAAAUGCGUAGAUAUGUGGAGGAACACCGAUGGCGAAGGCAGCCCCCUGGGUCAAGAUUGACGCUCAUGCACGAAAGCGUGGGGAGCAAACAGGAUUAGAUACCCUGGUAGUCCACGCCCUAAACGAUGUCUACUAGUUGUCGGGUCUUAAUUGACUGGUAACGCAGCUAACGCGUGAAGUAGACCGCCUGGGGAGUACGGUCGCAAGAUUAAAACUCAAAGGAAUUGACGGGGACCCGCACAAGCGGUGGAUGAUGUGGAUUAAUUCGAUGCAACGCGAAAAACCUUACCUACCCUUGACAUGGCUGGAAUCCUUGAGAGAUCAGGGAGUGCUCGAAAGAGAACCAGUACACAGGUGCUGCAUGGCUGUCGUCAGCUCGUGUCGUGAGAUGUUGGGUUAAGUCCCGCAACGAGCGCAACCCUUGUCAUUAGUUGCUACGAAAGGGCACUCUAAUGAGACUGCCGGUGACAAACCGGAGGAAGGUGGGGAUGACGUCAAGUCCUCAUGGCCCUUAUGGGUAGGGCUUCACACGUCAUACAAUGGUACAUACAGAGCGCCGCCAACCCGCGAGGGGGAGCUAAUCGCAGAAAGUGUAUCGUAGUCCGGAUUGUAGUCUGCAACUCGACUGCAUGAAGUUGGAAUCGCUAGUAAUCGCGGAUCAGCAUGUCGCGGUGAAUACGUUCCCGGGCCUUG